rnacentral:rRNA from 1 species
UGAGUACGAGAUGCUACGGCGUCGAAGCAGUCUAUGUCAUACUUCCAAGAAAAGCUUGCACUGUCAUAAACAAAUAAUGCCUGUACCAUAACCGACACAGGUGGGUAGGUAGAGUAUACUAAGGGGCGCGAGAUAACUCUCUCUAAGGAACUCGGCAAAAUGACUCCGUAACUUCGGGAGAAGGAGUGCCUUAUUUAUAAGGUUGCAAUAACAAGACCCAAGCAACUGUUUAUCAAAAACACAGGUCUCCGCUAAGUCGUAAGACGAUGUAUGGGGGCUGACGCCUGCCCAGUGCCAGAAGGUUAAAGAAGAUGGUUAGCUUUUGCGAAGCUGAUGACUGAAGCCCUGGUGAACGGCGGCCGUAACAAUAACGGUCCUAAGGUAGCGAAAUUCCUUGUCGGGUAAGUUCCGACCCGCACGAAAGGCGUAAUGAUUUGGGUACUGUCUCAGCGAGGGACUCGGUGAAAUAGACUUGUCUGUGAAGAUGCGGACUACCUGCACCUGGACAGAAAGACCCUAUGAAGCUUUACUGUAACUUGAAAUUGAAAUUGGACUUUAUUUGCGCAGUAUAGGUGGGAGGCUUUGAAGAUAUUCUUGCGGGAAUGUUGGAGCCAUCAGUGAGAUACCACUCUUGUAAUGUUAGAUUUCUAACUUUGUAUCAUUAUCUGGUCAAAGAACAGUUUCAGGCGGGCAGUUUGACUGGGGCGGUCGCCUCCUAAACGGUAACGGAGGCGCACAAAGGUUUCCUCUGAACGGGUAGAAAUCGUAUCUAGAGUGUAAAGGCAUAAGGAAGCUUGACUGUGAGACCUACAAGUCGAGCAGGGACGAAAGUCUCUUAGUGAUCUGACGGUGCUGAGUGGAAAGGCCGUCACUCAACGGAUAAAAGUUACUCUAAGGAUAACAGGCUGAUCUCCCCCAAGAGUUCACAUCGACGGGGAGGUUUGGCACCUCGAUGUCGGCUCAUCGCAUCCUGGGGCGGUAGUACGUCCCAAGGGUUGGGCUGUUCGCCCAUGAAAGCGGUACGCGAGCUGGGUCCAGAACGUCGUGAGACAGUUCGGUCCAUAUCCGGUGUAGGCGUUAGAAUAUUGAGAGGAGCCUUCUCUAGUACGAGAGGACCGAGAAGGACAUACCUCUGGUGUACCAGUUAUCGUGCCAACGGUAAACGCUGGGUAGCUAUGUGUGGAGUGGAUAACCGCUGAAAGCAUCUAAGUGGGAAGC